CUUUCUAAUCCAUUGAUCUUCGGAUUAAUACUCUUGACAUCUGGCCUCAAAUCAGGUAGGACUACCCGCUGAACUUAAGCAUAUCAAUAAGCGGAGGAAAAGAAACUAACAAGGAUUCCCCUAGUAACGGCGAGUGAAGCGGGAAGAGCUCAAAUUUGAAAUCUGGUAGCCUUCGGUUGCCCGAGUUGUAAUCUAGAGAAGUGUUUUCCGUGCCGGCCCAUGUACAAGUCCCUUGGAACAGGGCGUCAUAGAGGGUGAGAAUCCCGUCCUUGACAUGGACCCCCGGUGCUUUGUGAUACACUUUCAACGAGUCGAGUUGUUUGGGAAUGCAGCUCAAAAUGGGUGGUGAAUUCCAUCUAAAGCUAAAUAUUGGCGAGAGACCGAUAGCGAACAAGUACCGUGAGGGAAAGAUGAAAAGCACUUUGGAAAGAGAGUUAAACAGUACGUGAAAUUGUUGAAAGGGAAACGAUUGAAGUCAGUCAUGCUCUUGGGACUUACCUCCCUUGAGUGGGGUCAACAUCAGUUUUGAUCGAUGGAUAAAGGCACGGGGAAGGUAGCACUCUCGGGUGAACUUAUAGCCUCGCGUCAUAUACAUUGAUUGGGACUGAGGAACGCAGCAUGCCUUAUGGCCGGGAUUCGUCCACGUACAUGCUUAGGAUGUUGACAUAAUGGCUUUAAACGACCCGUCUUGAAACACGGACCAAGGAGUCUAACAUAUCUGCGAGUAUUUGGGUGUCAAACCCGAGUGCGCAAUGAAAGUGAACGUAGGAGCGAUCCGC
rnacentral:rRNA from 1 species